rnacentral:misc_RNA from 1 species
AAAGGAACUAAAUUGGUUUUAUAUUUCAAUAGAAGUAUCUAAAACAUAUUGUUCUACAUAAAAAAAAAAAUCGGGGAUGAGUAGAAUGGCAACUUUUAAAAAUUAAUUCAACAUAAGCAACUUAGAUCUAUAGUGCGUUCAACGAAAGGAGAUACCAGACGCAAACAAACCAAAUGACAAGUCAUUCGCCAAUGCAGGGACACGGAAUAAAAGAAAAAUAAAUAACUACAAAAUCAUAGGGCCGUCCGAAUGUUUUCAAACCCAUCUAUAGUCUCAUUUGACCUUGCCUAUCCCUAGCCGAAAGCCGUGCAGCAGAUAGCAACAAACAAGAUAGAAAGAGAUAGACCAUAUUUUGUUGGUUCCGCCGUCGCUACGCUUAAAUGAUGGACAUUGUUUACGUCUGGUAGCUUCUAACGUUGAACGCACUGUACUUACUUGACAAUACAACCGAUGUAUUCAUAUAUUUUAACAAUGCUUAUCUUUAAAAAUACAUAAACAUCACAGUCAACGACGCAACAAGAAGCAGUUUAUUACAUACUGUAA